GACGAACGCUGGCGGCGUGCUUAACACAUGCAAGUCGAACGGAAAGGCCCUGCUUUUGUGGGGUGCUCGAGUGGCGAACGGGUGAGUAACACGUGAGUAACCUGCCCUUGACUUUGGGAUAACUUCAGGAAACUGGGGCUAAUACCGGAUAGGAGCUCCUGCUGCAUGGUGGGGGUUGGAAAGUUUCGGCGGUUGGGGAUGGACUCGCGGCUUAUCAGCUUGUUGGUGGGGUAGUGGCUUACCAAGGCUUUGACGGGUAGCCGGCCUGAGAGGGUGACCGGCCACAUUGGGACUGAGAUACGGCCCAGACUCCUACGGGAGGCAGCAGUGGGGAAUAUUGCACAAUGGGCGGAAGCCUGAUGCAGCAACGCCGCGUGCGGGAUGACGGCCUUCGGGUUGUAAACCGCUUUCGCCUGUGACGAAGCGUGAGUGACGGUAAUGGGUAAAGAAGCACCGGCUAACUACGUGCCAGCAGCCGCGGUGAUACGUAGGGUGCGAGCGUUGUCCGGAUUUAUUGGGCGUAAAGGGCUCGUAGGUGGUUGAUCGCGUCGGAAGUGUAGUCUUGGGGCUUAACCCUGAGCGUGCUUUCGAUACGGGUUGACUUGAGGAAGGUAGGGGAGAAUGGAAUUCCUGGUGGAGCGGUGGAAUGCGCAGAUAUCAGGAGGAACACCAGUGGCGAAGGCGGUUCUCUGGGCCUUUCCUGACGCUGAGGAGCGAAAGCGUGGGGAGCGAACAGGCUUAGAUACCCUGGUAGUCCACGCUGUAAACGGUGGGUACUAGGUGUGGGGUCCAUUCCACGGGUUCCGUGCCGUAGCUAACGCUUUAAGUACCCCGCCUGGGGAGUACGGCCGCAAGGCUAAAACUCAAAGGAAUUGACGGGGCCCCGCACAAGCGGCGGAGCAUGCGGAUUAAUUCGAUGCAACGCGUAGAACCUUACCUGGGUUUGACAUGGAUCGGGAGUGCUCAGAGAUGGGUGUGCCUCUUUUGGGGUCGGUUCACAGGUGGUGCAUGGCUGUCGUCAGCUCGUGUCGUGAGAUGUUGGGUUAAGUCCCGCAACGAGCGCAACCCUUGUUCACUGUUGCCAGCACGUUAUGGUGGGGACUCAGUGGAGACCGCCGGGGUCAACUCGGAGGAAGGUGGGGAUGACGUCAAGUCAUCAUGCCCCUUAUGUCCAGGGCUUCACGCAUGCUACAAUGGCUGGUACAGAGAGUGGCGAGCCUGUGAGGGUGAGCGAAUCUCGGAAAGCCGGUCUCAGUUCGGAUUGGGGUCUGCAACUCGACCUCAUGAAGUCGGAGUCGCUAGUAAUCGCAGAUCAGCAACGCUGCGGUGAAUACGUUCCCGGG
rnacentral:rRNA from 1 species